rnacentral:rRNA from 1 species
CACGAACGCUGGCGGCAGGCUUAACACAUGCAAGUCGAGCGCCCCGCAAGGGGAGCGGCAGACGGGUGAGUAACGCGUGGGAAUCUACCCCUCUCUACGGAAUAACGCAUGGAAACGUGUGCUAAUACCGUAUACGUCCUUCGGGAGAAAGAUUUAUCGGAGAUGGAUGAGCCCGCGUUGGAUUAGCUAGUUGGUGGGGUAAAGGCCUACCAAGGCGACGAUCCAUAGCUGGUCUGAGAGGAUGAUCAGCCACACUGGGACUGAGACACGGCCCAGACUCCUACGGGAGGCAGCAGUGGGGAAUAUUGGACAAUAGGCGCAAGCCUGAUCCAGCCAUGCCGCGUGAGUGAUGAAGGCCCUAGGGUUGUAAAGCUCUUUCACCGGUGAAGAUAAUGACGGUAACCGGAGAAGAAGCCCCGGCUAACUUCGUGCCAGCCGCCGCCGUAAUAC